AGCUUUGCACAGUGGCAAUAUCGUAGUCAAUGAGAUUAAUCUGAGGUGCAAUUAUUGCUAAUUGAAAAAAAGAAAAUGAAUAUUAUUGUUUUGCCUGCCUAGGU